AUCCAGCUGAUGAGUCCCAAAUAGGACGAAACGCGUGUCCUGAAU
rnacentral:hammerhead_ribozyme from 1 species